UGAAAACUCUUGCCAAAUCAGUUUUGCAAGCCAAAUCAUUAUUAAAAGUGCGGGCAGAACAACUGGUCUGGUUUCCACUGGAGUACCACUCUGAGCUCUUCAAGACACCAGUUACUUUAUUGGAUCUGGUUAGUAAGAAACUUAAGAAGCUUCUACAUGGAGAAGAUGCAGAUGCCAUAUCAGUUGGGGAGGAAGUUAGUAUACUUCCAGUGGAAGACCUGAGAGGGUACCUGAAGAGAUACCGGGAAAAUAUUGGAAACAUGCCACCAAGCCCUCUUCGAUAGAAGUCUCCUUAUUUGGAAAGUUGCCAUUUUAAUGUUCAGUGUGAAUCAGGUAGGGAUUUGCUAGUCAUCACUAUGAAUGGUGGAUACUUUGACAAAUGCUUUAAGGAUAUUACCAUGUUGUUGCGUCUGCUGUUCAGAAAAUUAUAACCUUAGACAAAUAUCUUUGCACUGAGCCUCAGUUUUUUAAAAAUCUCUAAAAUAAAAAUACACAUGCACA
rnacentral:lncRNA from 1 species